CGCCAGACUCCUACGGGAGGCAGCAGUGAGGAAUAUUGGUCAAUGGGCGGAAGCCUGAACCAGCCAAGUCGCGUGAGGGAAGAAGGCCCUGCGGGUCGCAGACCUCUUUGGACGGGGAGCAAGGCCGCCGACGUGUCGGCGGAAGGAGAGUACCCGUAGAACAAGCAUCGGCUAACUCCGUGCCAGCAGCCGCGGUAAUACGGAGGAUGCGAGCGUUAUCCGGAUUUAUUGGGUUUAAAGGGUGCGCAGGCGGCACGGCAAGCCGGCGGUCAAAGCCCGGGGCUCAACCCCGGGCCGCCGUUGAAACUGGCAGUCUCGAGUUGGAGAGAAGUAUGCGGAAUGCGCGGUGUAGCGGUGAAAUGCAUAGAUAUCACGCAGAACUCCGAUUGCGAAGGCAGCAUACCGGCGCCCAACUGACGCUGAAGCACGAAAGCGUGGGUAUCGAACAGGAUUAGAUACCCCCGUACA
rnacentral:rRNA from 1 species